rnacentral:rRNA from 1 species
GACGAACGCUGGCGGCGUGCUUAACACAUGCAAGUCGAACGCAAAGGCCCUGCUUUUGUGGGGUGCUCGAGUGGCGAACGGGUGAGUAACACGUGAGUAACCUGCCCUUGACUUUGGGAUAACUUCAGGAAACUGGGGCUAAUACCGGAUAGGAGCUCCUGCUGCAUGGUGGGGGUUGGAAAGUUUCGGCGGUUGGGGAUGGACUCGCGGCUUAUCAGCUUGUUGGUGGGGUAGUGGCUUACCAAGGCUUUGACGGGUAGCCGGCCUGAGAGGGUGACCGGCCACAUUGGGACUGAGAUACGGCCCAGACUCCUACGGGAGGCAGCAGUGGGGAAUAUUACACAAUGGGCGGAAGCCUGAUGCAGCAACGCCGCGUGCGGGAUGACGGCCUUCGGGUUGUAAACCGCUUUCGCCUGUGACGAAGCGUGAGUGACGGUAAUGGGUAAAGAAGCACCGGCUAACUACGUG